UACAGAGGGGGCCAGCGUUAUUCGGAAUUACUGGGCGUAAAGCGCGUGUAGGCGGUUGUUCAAGUCAGGUGUGAAAGCCUUGAGCUCAACUCAAGAAAUGCACUUGAUACUGGAUGACUAGAGGACCGGAGAGGAUAGUGGAAUUCCCAGUGUAGUGGUGAAAUACGUAGAGAUUGGGAAGAACACCAGUGGCGAAGGCGGCUAUCUGGACGGUUUCUGACGCUAAGACGCGAAAGCGUGGGGAGCAAACAGGAUUAGAAUCCACCGUAGUA
rnacentral:rRNA from 1 species